GUGGUUGUGGCUCAGCGGUAGACCACUCGCCUAGCAUGUGUGAGGCCCUCGGUUUGAUCCUCAGCACCACA
rnacentral:tRNA from 1 species